GGGACUAUAGUUAAUAAUAACAUUUGAGUUGCAUUCAGAAAGUACUACAAGAUAGUUAGCCUCA
rnacentral:tRNA from 2 species